rnacentral:siRNA from 1 species
UAAAGUUAUAUUUAAAAU